rnacentral:lncRNA from 1 species
AUUUGUCCACAAUCUGAGGCCUUGCUCGGCUCUCUCUAUCCCCAAGCCCUAACUGGCCAUGAUGAUUAUUUCCCCAAGAAUAUAAACACAGAAUCAUCAUAAAUGUUGUCUUUGUGGAUCCCUUCCGGACCAACGAGAGCAACAACGUGUUCAUCCCCACAUGCUUACCUUCAAAACAGUCAGGCCAUGGAACUCGGGUAUAAGAAACCGAACCGGGAUGCUUCUAAAAGUAAUACGAGGCUCAAGCCCACUGUCUUGUGGAGGAACAUUCCCCCACAUCCAAAGACCUCCAACAUUAUCAAUGGCAAACGACAUCAUGGAUCCGGCCUUGACAGAAC